ACCAACCCUACACCUAAACCUACCCCUUACAGAAAACAUUCUGCUAUUUCAGAUUUUCAACACACUCCAUUUUGUGUGAUAUAUAAGCUUUUUGUAAAGUGGGG